rnacentral:rRNA from 1 species
GAUGAACGCUGGCGGCGUGCCUAACACAUGCAAGUCGAACGGAGAUUUAACGCUGAUGAAGCUUCGGCAGAUUCUUGUUAAAUCUUAGUGGCGGACGGGUGAGUAACGCGUGGGCAACCUGCCUCAUACUGGGGGAUAACAGCUGGAAACGACUGUUAAUACCGCAUAAGCGCACGGUAUCGCAUGAUACAGUGUGAAAAACUCCGGUGGUAUGAGAUGGGCCCGCGUCAGAUUAGCCAGUUGGCAGGGUAACGGCCUACCAAAGCGACGAUCUGUAGCCGGCCUGAGAGGGCGGACGGCCACAUUGGGACUGAGACACGGCCCAAACUCCUACGGGAGGCAGCAGUGGGGGAUAUUGCACAAUGGAGGAAACUCUGAUGCAGCGACGCCGCGUGAGUGAAGAAGUAUUUCGGUAUGUAAAGCUCUAUCAGCCAGGGAAGAAAAGAACUUCGUAAGAGAGAUGACGGAAC